rnacentral:piRNA from 1 species
UAAUAAGCAACCAAUAAUCUCUUGAUAA